rnacentral:rRNA from 1 species
GAUGAACGCUGGCGGCGCGCCUAUUACAUGCAAGUCGAGCGAACGGACGAGAAGCUUGCUUCUCUGAUGUUAGCGGCGGACGGGUGAGUAACACGUGGAUAACCUACCUAUAAGACUGGGAUAACUUUGGGAAACCGGAGCUAAUACCGGAUAAUAUUUUGAACCGCAUGGUUCAAAAGUGAAAGACGGUCUUGCUGUCACUUAUAGAUGGAUCCGCGCUGCAUUAGCUAGUUGGUAAGGUAACGGCUUACCAAGGCAACGAUGCAUAGCCGACCUGAGAGGGUGAUCGGCCACACUGGAACUGAGACACGGUCCAGACUCCUACGGGAGGCAGCAGUAGGGAAUCUUCCGCAAUGGGCGAAAGCCUGACGGAGCAACGCCGCGUGAGUGAUGAAGGUCUUCGGAUCGUAAAACUCUGUUAUUAGGGAAGAACAUAUGUGUAAGUAACUGUGCACAUCUUGACGGUACCUAAUCAGAAAGCCACGGCUAACUACGUG